rnacentral:rRNA from 1 species
CCUACGGGUGGCAGCAGUGGGGAAUAUUGCACAAUGGGGGAAACCCUGAUGCAGCCACGCCGCGUGAAGGAAGACGGUUUUCGGAUUGUAAACUUCUGUUCUUAGUGAAGAAUACUGACGGUAGCUAAGGAGCUAGCCACGGCUAAAUACGUGCCAGCAGCCGCGGUAAUACGUAGGUGGCAAGCGUUAUCCGGAUUUCCUGGGUGUAAAGGGAGCGUAGACGGCGUGCCAAGUCUGGUGUGAAAGGCCGGGGCUCAACCCCGGGACUGCAUUGGAAACUGGCAUACUGGAGUGCCGGAGGGGCAAGCGGAAUUCCUAGUGUAGCGGUGAAAUGCGUAGAUAUUAGGAGGAACACCGGUGGCGAAGGCGGCUUGCUGGACGGUAACUGACGUUGAGGCUCGAAAGCGUGGGGAGCAAACAGGAUUAGAUACCCUAGUAGUC